AGUGAACGCUGGCGGUAGGCCUAACACAUGCAAGUCGAACGGCAGCACAGUAAGAGCUUGCUCUUACGGGUGGCGAGUGGCGGACGGGUGAGGAAUACAUCGGAAUCUACUUUUUCGUGGGGGAUAACGUAGGGAAACUUACGCUAAUACCGCAUACGACCUACGGGUGAAAGCAGGGGAUCUUCGGACCUUGCGCGAUUGAAUGAGCCGAUGUCGGAUUAGCUAGUUGGCGGGGUAAAGGCCCACCAAGGCGACGAUCCGUAGCUGGUCUGAGAGGAUGAUCAGCCACACUGGAACUGAGACACGGUCCAGACUCCUACGGGAGGCAGCAGUGGGGAAUAUUGGACAAUGGGCGCAAGCCUGAUCCAGCCAUACCGCGUGGGUGAAGAAGGCCUUCGGGUUGUAAAGCCCUUUUGUGGGAAAGAAAAGCAGCAGGUUAAUACCCCGCUGUUCUGACGGUACCCAAAGAAUAAGCACCGGCUAACUUCGUG
rnacentral:rRNA from 1 species